AGUCCCUUAGUCACUGUAGUUUUUGCUAAUUAACAAGUUAACUUGCAUGAUAGCUUUCCUCUAGCUUUGGGGAAAAUUUGGCUUAGUAAGAUAAUGAGUAAAAAGUUUUAAGGAAGUACGCUUUGAUAUUCACAAAAAAAGAAAAUGCUUUCGAACUGCGUUACUUAAGUAUGAAUGCAAACAUCUGAAUCCUCAUAUAAAUAACAAACCACAAUAAAAAAAUGGCCCACUUGUAAAUGUCAUACUUCCUC